rnacentral:rRNA from 1 species
GACGAACGCUGGCGGCGUGCCUAAUACAUGCAAGUCGAACGAGAGCGACCGGUGCUUGCACUGGUCAAUCUAGUGGCGAACGGGUGAGUAACACGUGGGUAACCUGCCCAUCAGAGGGGGAUAACAUCCGGAAACGGAUGCUAAAACCGCAUAGGUCUUCGAACCGCAUGGUUUGAAGAGGAAAAGAGGCGCAGGCUUCUGCUGAUGGAUGGACCCGCGGUGCAUUAGCUAGUUGGUGAGGUAACGGCUCACCAAGGCCGUGAUGCAUAGCCGACCUGAGAGGGUGAUCGGCCACAUUGGGACUGAGACACGGCCCAAACUCCUACGGGAGGCAGCAGUAGGGAAUCUUCCGCAAUGGACGCAAGUCUGACGGAGCAACGCCGCGUGAGUGAAGAAGGUUUUCGGAUCGUAAAACUCUGUUGUUAGAGAAGAACAAGUGCUAGAGUAACUGUUAGCGCCUUGACGGUAUCUAACCAGAAAGCCACGGCUAACUACGUG